UAGGGAAUCUUCCGCAAUGGACGCAAGUCUGACGGAGCAACGCCGCGUGAGUGAAGAAGGAUUUCGGUUCGUAAAACUCUGUUGUUAGAGAAGAACAGCGCAUAGAGUAACUGUUAUGCGUGUGACGGUAUCUAACCAGAAAGCCACGGCUAACUACGUGCCAGCAGCCGCGGUAAUACGUAGGUGGCAAGCGUUGUCCGGAUUUAUUGGGCGUAAAGCGAGCGCAGGCGGUCAAUUAAGUCUGAUGUGAAAGCCCCCGGCUCAACCGGGGAGGGUCAUUGGAAACUGGUUGACUUGAGUGCAGAAGAGGAGAGGGGAAUUCCAUGUGUAGCGGUGAAAUGCGUAGAUAUAUGGAGGAACACCAGUGGCGAAGGCGACUCUCUGGUCUGUGACUGACGCUGAGGCUCGAAAGCGUGGGUAGCAAACAGG
rnacentral:rRNA from 1 species